rnacentral:rRNA from 1 species
GAUGAACGCUGGCGGCGUGCCUAAUACAUGCAAGUCGAGCGAACAGACGAGGAGCUUGCUCCUCUGACGUUAGCGGCGGACGGGUGAGUAACACGUGGAUAACCUACCUAUAAGACUUGGAUAACUUCGGGAAACCGGAGCUAAUACCGGAUAAUAUAUUGAACCGCAUGGUUCAAUAGUGAAAGACGGUUUUGCUGUCACUUAUAGAUGGAUCCGCGCCACAUUAGCUAGUUGGUAAGGUAACGGCUUACCAAGGCAACGAUGCGUAGCCGACCUGAGAGGGUGAUCAGCCACACUAGAACUGAGACACGGUACAGACUCCUAGGAGAGGCAGCAGUGGGGAAUAUUCCGCAAUGGGCGAAAGCGUGACGGAGCAACGGCGCGUGAGUGAUGAAGGUCUUCGGAUAGUAAAACUCUGUUAUUAGGGAAGAACAAAUGUGUAAGUAACUAGGCACGUCUUGACGGUACCAAAUCAGAAAGCCACGGCUAACUACGUG